rnacentral:misc_RNA from 1 species
UUAAUAUUGUUUUUUUUUUUUUUUCUUGAAGGCAGGAAUUCAUUCAUUAAAUCAUAAGGAUUAAUACAAUCUCAGGGCCCAAGAGAACCAACCCAAAAACAACUCAAGAUCACAGAGGCAAGCAUGUAGAAUUGAUGAAUCCUUUGAAAAAAAUAUUCUGAUAUGGCUUAAGGGGUGAAAUUAGACAUGGCCAUGGUCAAUUUUUAGCACCCUGUGAUAUGAUCUUGAUCCUCUAAAUCAUUGAACAAAAUCGAUGACCAAAUCUAAGUGAAAUGAAGUGUUAACUCAUAAUUUUUUUUUUCUUUUUAGAGGGUUAAGCUGGUAAUAUUUAAUCAAAGUGUUUGAUCUAUUUUUAUGUUUAGCCUGGCAUAUUGUGAAAAUAUGUAUUGUAAUAAAUUUCCUGUAAAUAGAAUGUGUUUGUAUCUUUUCCUUUAAUUCUCAUUUUUUGAACUGAGUAAAAAUGUGCAAUUAUUAGUGUUA